rnacentral:lncRNA from 1 species
AUUAAUCUUUUAAUAAUAGUUUAAUAUAAUAUUGAUAUUUUAAUCUAAUAUUAUUAAUCAUUUAAUAAUACUUUAAUCAUUUAUUAAUGCUUAAAUCAAAUAUUUUUAACCAUUUAAUAAUAUUUCAAUAAAGUUUUAAUCUUAAUAUUUUUAUUUACUUAACAAUAUCAGAUUCUAUUAUUAUUAAUAUCAUAAUAUUAUUUUAAUAAUUUAUUAGAUCAAUAAAUAAUUU